rnacentral:lncRNA from 1 species
GAGGGACAUGAAAGGAAGUAAUCAAGGAACCAAAGUCUCAGCAGGACGUGUGAGAGCAGAUUCUUCUCUGUGUCCUCAAACCUCCAAAACCAGGGGACGUGGAGGAACCAGAAUGGAAGAGCCUUCAAAGGGUCAUGAAGAGAGGUUGUUCAUGGGUCUCUACAUCCCAGGCAAAGAUGAACUCCUGGCCUUUUCGUGGAAGCACAAGGACAGUCUCAGGUAUCUUCUGGGCUAGAGAAGAAAACUUCUUACCCUCCUUGAUCAGCCAGGCCCCUUGAAAGGUGGGCUUCCUUGAUGGAUGAAUUCACCAGAGCUUGCUGCAUCAUUGUCUGUAACCCUGGUGACA